rnacentral:rRNA from 1 species
GAUGAACGCUGGCGGCGUGCCUAAUACAUGCAAGUCGAGCGAACGGACGAGAAGCUUGCUUCUCUGAUGUUAGCGGCGGACGGGUGAGUAACACGUGGAUAACCUACCUAUAAGACUGGGAUAACUUCGGGAAACCGGAGCUAAUACCGGAUAAUAUUUUGAACCGCAUGGUUCAAAAGUGAAAGACGGUCUUGCUGUCACUUAUAGAUGGAUCCGCGCUGCAUUAGCUAGUUGGUAAGGUAACGGCUUACCAAGGCAACGAUGCAUAGCCGAACUGAGAGGGUGAUAGGCCACACUGGAACUGAGACACGGUCCAGACUCCUACGGGAGGCAGCAGUAGGGAAUCUUCCGCAAUGGGCGAAAGCCUGACGGAGCAACGCCGCGUGAGUGAUGAAGGUCUUCGGAUCGUAAAACUCUGUUAUUAGGGAAGAACAGAUGUGUAAGUAACUGUGCACAUCUUGACGGUACCUAAUCAGAAAGCCACGGCUAACUACGUG